GAUGAACGCUGGCGGCGUGCUUAACACAUGCAAGUCGAACGAUAAAGCCCAGCUUGCUGGGUGGAUUAGUGGCGAACGGGUGAGUAGCACGUGAGUAACCUGCCCUUGACUCUGGGAUAAGCCCGGGAAACUGGGUCUAAUACCGGAUAGGAGCGCCUGUCGCAUGACGGGUGUUGGAAAGAUUUUUCGGUCAUGGAUGGACUCGCGGCCUAUCAGCUUGUUGGUGAGGUAAUGGCUCACCAAGGCGACGACGGGUAGCCGGCCUGAGAGGGUGACCGGCCACACUGGGACUGAGACACGGCCCAGACUCCUACGGGAGGCAGCAGUGGGGAAUAUUGCACAAUGGGCGGAAGCCUGAUGCAGCGACGCCGCGUGAGGGAUGACGGCCUUUCGGGUUGUAAACCUCCUUUCCAUAAGGGA
rnacentral:rRNA from 1 species